rnacentral:rRNA from 1 species
UCUGACGGCCAUAGCGGUGGUGAUCACCCGUUCCCAUUCCGAACACGGAAGUUAAGCCCGCGAGCCCACGGAAAUCCGAGUACGCCGUCAACU